UCCCAGCUCAGCCUCCCGGAUAGCCGGGACUACAGGAAGACCCAAGGGAAAGGAGUGAGGGUGUCUGGAAGCAGGCUGGGGGCCGGCCACCCCUCCACAGGAGAGAGGUCUGGCUCCUCUGGCAAACCCUGCAGCCCCAGGCAGGCUCCCAGCAGGCGUGGGACUGAAGACUAGGGAAGCAUCCUUCCCGACUCUGGGAAUCUGGUCUGCCCUGGCAAAUCCUGGGCAACCCCACAACCCUUCUCUGUCACAGUGGCCCUGGGGUCAGCAAGCCACCGUGAGGCCAGUGAUGCCUUUCCACUCCAGCCUUGUCAACAGAGAAGACGGAAUUAUGAGAGAAGGACAUUCAGACAGAGAGCAAGAUGGAAGGAACCCUCCCAGGCUCAGUAGCUCACACUUGUAAUCCUAGCAGUUUGGGAGCCUGAGGCGGGUGGAUCACGAAGUCAGGAGAUCAAGACCAUCCUGGCC